rnacentral:rRNA from 1 species
ACAGCAGCAGCCGCGGUAAUACGUAGGGUGCGAGCGUUAAUCGGUAUUACUGGGCGUAAAGCGUGCGCAGGCGGUUUUGUAAGACAGGCGUGAAAUCCCCGGGCUCAACCUGGGAAUGGCGCUUGUGACUGCAAAGCUAGAGUGCGGCAGAGGGGAGUGGAAUUCCGCGUGUAGCAGUGAAAUGCGUAGAUAUGCGGAGGAACACCGAUGGCGAAGGCAAUCCCCUGGGCCUGCACUGACGCUCAUGCACAAAAGCGUGGGGAGCAAACAGGAUUAGAGACCCCAGUAGUCCCUGUCUCUUAUAC